UACGGAGGGGGCUAGCGUUGUUCGGAAUUACUGGGCGUAAAGCGCACGUAGGCGGCUUUGCAAGUUAGAGGUGAAAGCCCGGAGCUCAACUCCGGAACUGCCUUUAAGACUGCAUCGCUAGAAUCAUGGAGAGGUGAGUGGAAUUCCGAGUGUAGAGGUGAAAUUCGUAGAUAUUCGGAAGAACACCAGUGGCGAAGGCGACUCACUGGACAUGUAUUGACGCUGAGGUGCGAAAGCGUGGGGAGCAAACAGG
rnacentral:rRNA from 1 species